GAGUUUGAUCGUGGCUCAGAUUGAACGCUAGCGGGAUGCCUUACACAUGCAAGUCGAACGGCAGCACGGACUUCGGUCUGGUGGCGAGUGGCGAACGGGUGAGUAAUGUAUCGGAACGUGCCUAGUAGCGGGGGGAUAACUACGCGAAAGCGUAGCUAAUACCGCAUACGCCCUACGGGGAAAGCAGGGGAUCGCAAGACCUUGCACUAUUAGAGCGGCCGAUAUCGGAUUAGCUAGUUGGUGGGGUAACGGCUCACCAAGGCGACGAUCCGUAGCUGGUUUGAGAGGACGACCAGCCACACUGGGACUGAGACACGGCCCAGACUCCUACGGGAGGCAGCAGUGGGGAAUUUUGGACAAUGGGGGAAACCCUGAUCCAGCCAUCCCGCGUGUGCGAUGAAGGCCUCGGUUGUAAGCACUUUGGUCAGGAAGAAACGUACAU
rnacentral:rRNA from 1 species